AUACGGGGGGUGCAAGCGUUGUUCGGAAUCAUUGGGCGUAAAGGGCGUGUAGGCGGCUGGAUAAGUCAGAUGUGAAAUCCCUGGGCUUAACCCAGGAAGUGCAUUUGAAACUGUCCGGCUUGAGUAAGGGAGAGGAAAGUGGAAUUCCUGGUGUAGAGGUGAAAUUCGUAGAUAUCAGGAGGAACACCGGUGGCGAAGGCGACUUUCUGGCCCUAUACUGACGCUGAGACGCGAAAGCGUGGGUAGCAAACAGGAUUAGAUACCCUGGUAGUCCACGCUGUAAACGAUGUUCACUAGGUGUUGGGAGUAUUGACCCUCUCAGUGCCGUAGCUAACGCAUUAAGUGAACCGCCUGGGGAGUACGGUCGCAAGACUAAA
rnacentral:rRNA from 1 species